rnacentral:rRNA from 1 species
ACGCUCGACACCUACGGAGGCAGCAGUGGGGAAUAUUGCACAAUGGGGGAAACCCUGAUGCAGCGACGCCGCGUGGAGGAAGAAGGUCUUCGGAUUGUAAACUCCUGUUGUUGGGGAAAAAGAGGAUGGGUACCCAAACAAGGAAGUGACGGCUAACUACGUGCCGAGACACGCGCGUAUCNGNGGCGGNUGNAG